UACGUAGGGGGCUAGCGUUGCUCGGAAUCACUGGGCGUAAAGGGCGCGUAGGCGGCGUUUUAAGUUGGGGGUGAAAGCCUGUGGCUCAACCACAGAAUUGCCUUCGAUACUGGGACGCUUGAGUGUGGUAGAGGUUGGUGGAACUGCGAGUGUAGAGGUGAAAUUCGUAGAUAUUCGCAAGAACACCGGUGGCGAAGGCGGCCAACUGGACCAUCACUGACGCUGAGGCGCGAAAGCGUGGGGAGCAAACAGG
rnacentral:rRNA from 1 species